rnacentral:rRNA from 1 species
UACGUAGGGUGCGAGCGUUAAUCGGAAUUACUGGGCGUAAAGCGUGCGCAGGCGGUCUGUUAAGACCGAUGUGAAAUCCCCCGGGCUUAACCUGGGAACUGCAUUGGUGACUGGCAGGCUUUGAGUGUGGCAGAGGGAGGUAGAAUUCCACGUGUAGCAGUGAAAUGCGUAGAGAUGUGGGAGGAAUACCGAUGGCGAAGGCAGCCUCCUGGG